GCCUACGGUGUAGACCCCAGCAGAAACACGUUUCGUGAGGGGUCUACGAAUAAACGAAGAAAAGCUUGCCCGGCCUACGUCAUAUCCGUUUUACGUUUUGGGUAAAUUAACUUCAAUUUAUUCAAAUUUCUGAGCGUGCGUGAAUGUAAAUUUUCAUUUGGCGCUUAUUAAAAUGUUCCAUGGCGGGCUUUGUGCAAUAAAAUAUACCCUGACUAUAUAUAUACCCAACCAUUAAACACAUGUUCGAACGGACUAAAAAGUUCUUGUCAUUCGUACAAACUGUUAGUCUGUUGAAGGCUUGAAACUUGUCAAGAUAUCUAAUUUCCGAAGUCGAAGACAAAGUCUAUUUCCCACUAUUAAAUGUAGCCGGCAUAAAAGCUUUAUCGCAAGUCGGCUCGAAUCCUAGUUGGUUCACGACAUUUAUCAAUAGCGUUUAAUGCUGUUUCGUGCACGUUGGUUAUCGUAUUGUCUAGGCUCUAGCUCACAUAUUAAACCGUUCUUUGAAGCUUCUCCGUUUCACCGUUUGUUUACCAUGCCAGGCGGCCAGGCAUGCUUUACAAAUGCUAUUUGUAGGUGAAAUGGAG